CGGUAGUCCGGUCCAACUGAACGUCACGAAAGGUAACGUCGCAGACACGUGGCCAGUACUCAUGUAUUCGAGCGAGACAACGGACGCUACACAGGGACAGGCUGUAACACAACAGUGUAUCUUCAGCGGCAGACCCGUUCCAGUAGUUACCUGGUACCGUGACGACAAGCAAGUGACUAACACUACUCGUGUACAGCUAUCUUAUACCACCGUUACUAUCAAGAACGUGUCUGAUGGGGACGCAGGAAUAUAUCGAUGUACUGGAAAGA